GAUGAACGCUGGCGGCGUGCCUAAUACAUGCAAGUCGAGCGAACGGACGAGAAGCUUGCUUUUCUGAUGUUAGCGGCGGACGGGUGAGUAACACGUGGAUAACCUACCUAUAAGACUGGGAUAACUUCGGGGAACCGGAGCUAAUACCGGAUAAUAUUUUGAACCGCAUGGUUCAAAAGUGAAAGACGGUCUUGCUGUCACUUAUAGAUGGAUCCGCGCUGCAUUAGCUAGUUGGUAAGGUAACGGCUUACCAAGGCAACGAUGCAUAGCCGACCUGAGAGGGUGAUCGGCCACACUGGAACUGAGACACGGUCCAGACUCCUACGGGAGGCAGCAGUAGGGAAUCUUCCGCAAUGGGCGAAAGCCUGACGGAGCAACGCCGCGUGAGUGAUGAAGGUCUUCGGAUCGUAAAACUCUGUUAUUAGGGAAGAACAUAUGUGUAAGUAACUGUGCACAUCUUGACGGUACCUAAUCAGAAAGCCACGGCUAACUACGUGCCAGCAGCCGCGGUAAUACGUAGGUGGCAAGCGUUAUCCGGAAUUAUUGGGCGUAAAGCGCGCGUAGGCGGUUUUUUAAGUCUGAUGUGAAAGCCCACGGCUCAACCGUGGAGGGUCAUUGGAAACUGGAAAACUUGAGUGCAGAAGAGGAAAGUGGAAUUCCAUGUGUAGCGGUGAAAUGCGCAGGGAUGUGGAGGAACACCAGUGGCGAAGGCGACUUUCUGGUCUGUAACUGACGCUGAUGUGCGAAAGCGUGGGGAUCAAACAGGAUUAGAUACCCUGGUAGUCCACGCCGUAAACGAUGAGUGCUAAGUGUUAGGGGGUUUCCGCCCCUUAGUGCUGCAGCUAACGCAUUAAGCACUCCGCCUGGGGAGUACGACCGCAAGGUUGAAACUCAAAGGAAUUGACGGGGGCCCGCACAAGCGGUGGAGCAUGUGGUUUAAUUCGAAGCAACGCGAAGAACCUUACCAAAUCUUGACAUCCUUUGACAACUCUAGAGAUAGAGCCUUCCCCUUCGGGGGACAAAGUGACAGGUGGUGCAUGGUUGUCGUCAGCUCGUGUCGUGAGAUGUUGGGUUAAGUCCCGCAACGAGCGCAACCCUUAAGCUUAGUUGCCAUCAUUAAGUUGGGCACUCUAAGUUGACUGCCGGUGACAAACCGGAGGAAGGUGGGGAUGACGUCAAAUCAUCAUGCCCCUUAUGAUUUGGGCUACACACGUGCUACAAUGGACAAUACAAAGGGCAGCGAAACCGCGAGGUCAAGCAAAUCCCAUAAAGUUGUUCUCAGUUCGGAUUGUAGUCUGCAACUCGACUACAUGAAGCUGGAAUCGCUAGUAAUCGUAGAUCAGCAUGCUACGGUGAAUACGUUCCCGGGUCU
rnacentral:rRNA from 1 species